rfam:Microbispora rosea strain ATCC 12950 genome assembly, contig: Ga0104720_141
CGGAAAGUGCCUUCUGAACUGGUGCGGACAGGACCUUAGACAAGCCCAAUCCUCCCAGCUCAAAGGCACUUUUCUCAUGUAAACGAUCAAG